AUGAUAGAUUUGCAAACUCAAACUUGCCAUUCAAGUGAUGCAGCUGAGGGAAAUACCUCUACAUAGCUCUCAUUAAUGACAUAAAAAGAUAAAAUGAAUAAUUUCCUUGGCACAUGAUCCGGAUACAUAUGGGGGAGCAGGCCAAGCACCAAGAGGGGGUUUGAGAAGGAGGAGAACAUAAAUGGUUAUUUCUCUACUCAAAGUCAGGAACAAAUGCUUGAGACCUUCAAGACUCCGCAGAUGCAGAUCACUAACCUUAAGAACUUGGAUGCACGUUGACAAAUGGAGUUUGACUCAUCUCCUUCAGAAUAAUAUCUUCUAUCUUUGUUUGCCCCAAUAUUAAAUGCCUCUCAUGCUCUUCUUUUGGCUGAGUCAUGAACAUUCCUUGGCUCCUUCUACAGCAUCUGAGGGUCCGUUCAGCCAUGGUCAAAAAAAAAAAGAAAAAGAAAUUGACAUGAGGAGAAGAAGAGGGCAAUAAUCUCACACUCAUCACCCAACUUCUAUUUUAAUGGUUUUCGGUUAAGACUGAAACCAAACAAUACAAAUUUUUUGUUGCUCAAUCCUGCCAGAUAACAUGGGUAUUUCCCUUGCAUUGUAAUCUUCCUUACUCUUGAUGAAUUGUUUAGUGUGUUUAUUGGGUUGGAUGAGGUUUUAUUUUUUUUGGAGUUGGGUUUUUCAUGAUUGUUCUGAUAAUUCAAUUGAAUUUGACGUUUGUCUGCUUUUAGGGACAUUGUUUGGUUUUCACCCAUAACGUUCAUGUUCUCGAAGGGAGGGUGGCUGUUUAGGAACCCAAACAAAUGCCUACUCUUUUUCUAUCUUGUUUACUAGCUAUCAGUAACACCUUCUGUCCACCAAAAGAAAAGCUAGCUCUGAUGAACACAAGGCUUUAAUGAUUAACAUUCAUAUAACAAAAAUAUUAUUGGUUCAAGGAUUGGAAAUGCUUCUAGCCCAUGGAUAUUAGUGAAAAGUUAUAAACAGUGUUGGAUAAAUGCCUGACUUUAUGAGAAGUAGGACUGAUUAAAGGAUUCUCCUUUACUUGGAAUAUCAUCAAUUCGAUGGAUGUAAUUAGUGAUAAAUAGUGUUAGAUAAAUGCCCGACUUUAUGAGAAGUAGGCCUAGCUAAAUGAUUCUCUUUUACUUUGCAUAGCAUCAAUUGGAUGGAUUUGAUUGGUCAUUAAACUUUUU